rnacentral:misc_RNA from 1 species
CCGAGUUAGGGUUGUCCAACAGCCCGACCUCCCAACCCUGUGUCUACUGUACCUGUCGUUGCUUCGGCGGACCGGUCGGACCAACCGGUCUUGACCGCCGGGGAGCUCGUGCCCUGGAGAGCGUCCGCUGACGGCCCCAACCACGAAACUCUGGUACCGAAACUUGUCGUCUGAAUUUGAUUAUCAAUUACCAAAAAA